rnacentral:rRNA from 1 species
UUUUUAAAUUGAGAGUUUGAUCCUGGCUCAGGAUGAACGCUGGCGGCGUGCCUAAUACAUGCAAGUCGUACGCUAGCCGCUGAAUUGAUCCUUCGGGUGAAGUGAGGCAAUGACUAGAGUGGCGAACUGGUGAGUAACACGUAAGAAACCUGCCCUUUAGUGGGGGAUAACAU